CCCUAGCCCCGAUUGCAGUGGCAUCCCCCGGCGAGGUUGCAACCGAAGCCGGGGAUAAAACGGAAAGCGGGUUGUAAU
rnacentral:sRNA from 1 species